CACAAAGAGGUGGACGCGACUGAGCAACUAAGCAUAGCAACAACAAGCUCUGGUACAUUUUAAAAUAUCCAUAAAAUUUCUUCUAUCUCACUUGUAUUCUGCAUUUGUAAAUUCUGUCUCAAGUAAAAUAAUCAGUUGGGUGCAACAUUUUCAAACUUUUAUAAAUACUGCUCUAAUUACUCUUUACUCCUGAAUCCUUCUGUUUAGAUUCAAGGCAGUGAUGUCAAACAUUAUGAGAGUGUUUAUUUCUUUGGAAUGGGAUGCGACAUUUACAUGACACAUCUGCGUGUUUUAGAAGACUGUCUAACCCAAGCACAUGCAGGAUUAUAGGAGAGACCAGUGAAAAUUCAAAGCUGUCAUUGCCAAUUUGUUCGAGCUCAGAUCCAAAAGGUCACCCACAUGACACAAUGGAAACUAGAAACAUCCUUUUCUUUUUUCAUGUCAACAUGUUAUGCUCCAUAUUUUCUUCAAUGUUUUUGAAGCUUAUGAGUAAGAAUGUUAUGCUAACCUAUAAAAAUCACUUAGAAAAACUAAAAUUUUAUUAAAAAUUCC
rnacentral:lncRNA from 1 species